rnacentral:rRNA from 1 species
AUUGAACGCUGGCGGCAGGCCUAACACAUGCAAGUCGAGCGCGAAAGUUCUUCGGAAUGAGUAAAGCGGCGGACGGGUGAGUAAUACAUGGGAAUCUGCCUGGUAGUGGGGGACAACGUUUCGAAAGGAACGCUAAUACCGCAUAUGCCCUACGGGGGAAAGGGGGGGAUCUUCGGACCUCUCGCUAUCAGAUGAGCCCA